GGGCCCCAGAAGACCAAGGGGCCCAAAACUACCACUCAUUAGAUGCAUGGAAAUU
rfam:Human astrovirus type 1 genes for capsid protein and nonstructural protein